rnacentral:miRNA from 1 species
GCCACAACUUUUACUUUGAAGG